UACGUAGGGUGCGAGCGUUGUCCGGAAUUACUGGGCGUAAAGAGCUCGUAGGUGGUUUGUCGCGUUGUCCGUGAAAACUCACAACUCAAUUGUGGGCGUGCGGGCGAUACGGGCAGACUGGAGUACUGCAGGGGAGACUGGAAUUCCUGGUGUAGCGGUGGAAUGCGCAGAUAUCAGGAGGAACACCGGUGGCGAAGGCGGGUCUCUGGGCAGUAA
rnacentral:rRNA from 1 species